rnacentral:misc_RNA from 1 species
UUCAUAAUGAAAUUUUGGACUUUUUAUUGAUUUUCGCUCAUUCUGUUGGUUUUACAAUGGUUAAAUUGUAAACCAACAAGCAAGUGAAAAUGAUUAAUGGGUCUGAAUGGACAUAUACAAUCUAUCCUUAAAAGCUAACAAGAGAAAGUGAAGAAUAAGUGAUUAAGCUUCAAGCUUACCAAAAAAAAGUGAUUAAGCUUCAAACAUGACUGAAAAUUUGGAAUAACACCACUGUUUUUUAGUUUUGGGUUUUAAUCAAAAUAUGAUCUUGAUUAGAAAUUGCAGGCUCCACCAGCUGUUCCUUUUCUUGAUCAGAAAUUGCAAGCUCCGCCAGCUGUUUCUUUUUCUCUACUUCCAUUCCCCGCAUAAUUGCAAACAACCCAAGAAAUAUCAUUGCAGCUCCUAGUACCCUGGAAAAAGAAGCAGAGAUGAUAUGCAGUAAAAAAAAAAAUUGAUAAUAUUUUCCUGAAUUGAAUUCAAUAGAUAUAGAGCUGAUUAAAUGAAAAAAGAAACUUACAUCCCUAAGUGUAAUCCUUCUCCUCAAAUGAACAGUCCUAUAAUUGCUACAAAAACUGUUGUGACUGGCCUAGAUGAGGUCGUGAAAACCGGGCCCCUUCUCCCUACUAUCAGAGUUUGACAUAAGCUACUAUCCCAAAAAUCAUAAUUCCGUUGUAAAGGGGAGCCACAAAAGUCAUAUCCCAGGACAAUCUCCAAGAUGAUACUUUAUGAUCUGUGAUUGCUGCUACAAUUGUUGCAACUAUAGUUCCUGAUACCCCUGUUAAAGUUGUCAGCUUCAUUGGAGAAGGGUACUUCUUAAUUGUUCUGGCCUGGAUUAUCGUAUCAUAUAUUAGUGGGU